AUGGCUCAGGAUUAACGCUGGCGGCGUGCCUAAUACAUGCAAGUCGAAUGGUAGCAAUACCAUGGCGAACGGGUGAGUAACACGUAGGUAACCUGUCUUUAAGCCGAGGAUAACCAUUGGAAACGAUGGAUAAUACUGGAUAGGACAUUUGAAGGCAUCUUUAGAUGUUUAAAGAUUUAUUACUUAGAGAGGGGCCUGCGGCGCAUUAGCUAGUUGGUGAGGUGAAGGCUUACCAAGGCGAUGAUGCGUAGCCGGACUGAGAGGUUGAACGGCCACAAUGGAACUGAGAACGGUCCAUACUCCUACGGGAGGCAGCAGUAGGGAAUUUUCGGCAAUGGGCGGAAGCCUGAACCCGAGCAACGCCGCGUGAACGAAGAAGUAUUUCGGUAUGUAAAGUUCUUUUAUUAGGGACGAAAAGACAGAUUGACGGUACCUAAUGAAUAAGCUCCGGCUAACUACGUGCCAGCCGCAGC
rnacentral:rRNA from 1 species